rnacentral:rRNA from 1 species
GGAUGCGAUCAUACCAGCACUAAAGCACCGGAUCCCAUCAGAACUCCGAAGUUAAGCGUGCGGGUGACCUCCUGGGAAGUCCUCGUGUUGCAUUCC